GUAGGUGAACCUGCGGAAGGAUCAUUAUUGAAUGAACUUGGUGUGGUUGUUGCUGGUCCUUUCGGGGGCAUGUGCACGCCCACCAUCCUCAUCUCUCCACCUGUGCACCUCUUGUAGACUUGGAUUGACUUUCCGAGGCAACUCGGUCGGGAGGAUUGCUGGCAUCAGCUGGCUUUCUUUGCAUUUCCGGGUCUACGUUUUUCAUAUACCCCAUUGUAUGUAACAGAAUGUCAUAUUGGGCCCUUGUGCC
rnacentral:misc_RNA from 1 species